UACGUAGGGUGCAGGCGUUAAUCGGAAUUACUGGGCGUAAAGCGUGCGCAGGCGGUCUUUUAAGACAGAUGUGAAAUCCCCGGGCUUAACCUGGGAAUGGCAUUUGUGACUGCCCGGCUAGAGUGUGUCAGAGGGGGGUAGAAUUCCACGUGUAGCAGUGAAAUGCGUAGAGAUGUGGAGGAAUACCGAUGGCGAAGGCAGCCCCCUGGGAUAACACUGACGCUCAUGCACGAAAGCGUGGGGAGCAAACAGG
rnacentral:rRNA from 1 species